AAAUUGCAGCUGUUGGUGUUGAGCCCUUUGGAGACAUUCUCAGACUUCCCAGACUCCUUCAGUAAAGCCUCUAGCACCUCUGCCAGACAACAACUUUAGCAGCAAACUAUACUCUGUACGUUACUUGGACAAAGAUUUGAUCCUACAGAUGGAUUUACUUUCUACUGAUGGAGAAGACUUCCCUGUGAAUUCAGGGAGAGGAUUGCUUUUGGAAUGACUGAAAGUUCAGAUUCAAUGCCACGUACAAGAUAGAGUGAGAUCUGAAUUACAAUAAGAUGCCUCUGCCUACAUCUUCCAUCACAACUGGCUGUCAACUCUCUUGAAAGGCUGUUUUCUAAACCAGUGUGAUGCCUCAGGUGCAGAAGAGAGAGACAAUAAUUAACAAUGUGGCCUACAGCAUCUUGGGGAACAAUUAAUUUUAGUGAAUGGACAGGGGGAGGAAGAGAGAAGAUUCAGACAGUGAUUAUUGCUUAAGACACCAUCUCUUUGAAGAGUAUAUUGUGUAAUAAUACAAUAAUGCUCCAUUUCAGGAACUACUAUUUGUAGAGGAGAACAGCUGACAGAACCACCUGCCCUUUCUCAAAGGCAUUGCUGAGGUCUCAGGUUGAACUGCUUUCAGAACUCUGGAGCAUUGGAUGUGGCACUCUAGUCUAGCUCACUCUGGAGACAGUUAACAACCAUGAAAUGCUGAUCUCUCUCAAAAAAGGAGAGCAACUCCACACUCCUUCCUUGGCUGUGCCUGUACAGCUCAACUCUGAAGAUGGCACUGGAGGGUUGCUUUGCAGCAGUAAGUACAGAAGGAACAGCGAAGAACAUCAGACCCUGAAAUUUAGGGGAAGACUGAAGCAGAGCAGCUAAUCCCACUUGAAAGGAUGGGCUCAUGUCCAACUACACAUUUUUUUUCCAAUCCACUGGGAAAGCCAUUACACUGAUGGCAGUCAGAUUGGUGCAGCCACAGCAAUCUUGAAAGCAAUUAGGAUAUCUUUGAUUAAAUGAUCUAGUGGACAAAGACUGAAAUUGCUUCUCUAGGAAAACCCCAGCAUGGAUAGUUUUUUAAUUAAAAUGAGCUAAUAUGAGAUUUUUACUUGCAAAAUCACAUGAAAGGGAGAAAACAAAAGUGAUACGAGAAAGGGAAAACACCCUUUUGUUUUCUCCAGUGACUGAUUAUCACCACACUGUUUUCAAAAUCCCUUUGCUUCCCUGUGUAAUCAGGUUGAUUAAAAUCCUCUAAAGAAAUAAAACAGCUGCACAGACUUCCAAAAUCACAUUCUUCUCCACUGUGUGCACACUGUAUUCUUUUCAACAGCUUUGUUUCCAAAUUAUUCUUUUCCCUUCAUUGCCUCCGAAAGUCUAUUACUGGAUUUAUUAAAAGAAAGCUGAAUAAGCAUGCUGAAUACAGCCACAGUGAUUGCCUCAACACAUGUUGUUUGUGCAAGGACUACUGUGCAACCAAGUUUGAGCUGCUGGCUGUCACUGAAUUGAGGCAGAACAAAGGAAAACCCAGCUGAAAGAAAUUGUUCACUAAAGGAAGGUUCCAUAUUUUGCCCUUCUGUCAUACACUGAAGAGCUAAAACAAUUAUUAAGCUGAAGUCACACCAUGACAUUUUACUUCAACCCAGGCUAGGAGGAGGAAUGUUCCUAUCUUGUCUCUAAAAUGACCUGACACCUUUCCACUGUCUGAGGCUGAGACGAGGCUGUGCUGCCACAUGCUGCUGCUGCAAGCUGUGCCUUCCAGGGAAUCAGCUCAGCUGGGGUGACUUGGGAAGGGGGCACCUGCUUGCUUCCCUCUCCUGCUUGGAGGUGCUUGCCUGGCUGUAGGAGGGGCCUGGAAUAAGGAGAGGCUGGUGCACAGAGCACACCUCACAUUCACUCACCCUGUGCACACAGCACAUCAGUCCUGCCACUCUGCCAGUGCUUAUGCAAACCAAGGUGUGCCCAGUGCUUAAGCAGACCUCUCUGGGCUGCCCCUUCCUGCUCCCCAUUCCAUCAGGUUUUUCACAGGCAGGUUUCCCUAAGGAGGCAGGAGGUUUGACUGAAUGGGGCUAUACCUGAUGCUAUAAAAUGUGCACGGCCCCCACUGCUACAGUGGGAACUGGUGGUGGAGCCACUGGUGAGUCCCCAGAGAAGGGCUGAGCCACCAUCACUGGAGGUAUUUAAAAGAUGUGUGGCUGUUGCAUUUAGGAACAUGGCUUAGUGGUGGACUUGGCAGUGUAGGUUAACCAUCUCUUGCAGCCUAAAGGAUUCUCUGAUCCCUGUCUGGGUACCAGGGGCUACCCUGUUUCCUACCAAGCCCUCCCGUUCUGCAUUCCCCAUACUGGUGAGUUUUGUUCCUUGUCCAGCCCAUCCAGCAAAUUGAGUCAUCUCAAAAAGAAGGGAAAACACAUCUGCAGGCAGAGGCAGCUCUGCAGGGCUGUAACAUUGCUGGAGUUUGCACAAGCUAGAUGCAAGUGCUUUUAAUACUGGCCUCAGUCAGCACGAUGGCUCAAGUCUUCCCACCUUUUUGAUUCGUCCAAGAAAUGUACUUGAAUUUCUUGGUCAGGACAAUAGAUUAAUUUGUUUUUUCAGGCAGUACCAUUUUAAUACAAGUUACACAGAUGAGCACAUACUUUUUCUUGCUGAGCAGCUUUAUGUGCCCGUGGUGAACCCCCCAUCUCCUCCCCAGACACCCUGCAGCACUGACCUUGCCAUGGGCACUGACAGCUUCCCUCAUCACUCCAGCAACACAAAACUUUCCUGCCUCAUCAUGGAGACCAAGAUAUUUAGGAGAGACAAAAAAACAUUUAUGGAGAUAAAAAUAUUUAUGACCUCAGUGUCAUAAAUAAGCCUACACUUAGUUCAAUAGAACAUAUCAAGUUUAUUUUAAUGAUUAAUAGAACCAUAUCUGGAAAGGGCAAGUUGCAAAAGCUACUUUGAAAUUCUGAAACAGUGAUAAAGUCAUUCUUGAAAUGUUUAAAAAUAAGAAAAUGCUAUAUCUGCUAAACAAGAGCAAAUAGAGUAAGUCCUAUGCAAAUGACUGAGAACAGGACAGAUUCUGAAAAUACCACAGACUAGAAAUUUCUUUCUGUCUAGAAAAAUAUGUGUCCCAAAUAGUUUUAAAUCAGUAAACUUUAUGUGCUAUUAUCCAGAUGGAGUAAAAUGCUGGCCCCACAGACAUUAAUCAGUCAAUGAACUCAAUGAGGUCAGAGUUUUACCCUGAGACUCAAUUUUUUAAAAAAAUAAUUCAUAUUUCUGACAUUUUUAUAUACACUCACAUACACACAGACUUACAGACUUCCUGCUCUGUGCCCAUAUAUAUAUAUAUAAAAUCAUUUAUAGCAGUAAUUUUUCUAAUGCUUUGUAAAAUCUUUUACUGAUUUACAACACUAAAGAGUUUAUUUCUUUGUCAUCCUAUUCAGAUGUUACUCCCUAUUGUGCACUCUUCUCUCCAGUGCAAACCACCCAAGGCCUGUUCUAGCAGAAUGACAUGAAAGCACAUGUGUUGUCUGAUGAAGAGCAGAGAAUUUCACAAAACACCCAGAUGUUUUUGAGAUGCAGCAGCACUGCAUUGUUUUGCAGCACAGACCUAAAAAAAGUAUCUCUUUAUUCAUUUAAAAUGCCAUGAUAUGGAGUGUGGCUCAUGAUGUGUUCCUUGGUGAAAAGAAUAAAAAAAUAUGUAUAAACUAGAAACCAGUGGCAGAAUUGAAGCCUUUUUGGGUGCUCGAGACACCCAAGAGAAAGCAAAUAGCCCCUCAAGCCCCAGGGUGAUUGGGGUGCACUCUCAGAAGACACAGAACUGUGACCCCCACCAAAGGACUGAGCUGUAACACACACAUGCUCCAGGAAGUUACAAAGGCAGACAGGGCUCCUGUGCUCAGGUUUUUCUCCCAGCAGAAAUAAUGUGUCAAACUAUUCCUCUGAGCCAGUCUGGCAACUGCAUAUCCUACAGUAGCUUUUUAUUUCUUAUUGCAUAUCAUGGCAUAAACCCACAUCUUUGUCUUUCCCUAAUUGGGGUAUUGGAGAAUGUAACUUCUUUUCCUGGUUCUACCCAAAUACUCUCUUAGUGUCAAGAGGAUGUGACACCAUGUUUUUUCAGAUUUCUAUACUUAAAUGUCUGCUAUUCACAUUUCAGAAGAGGACUAUGAAUUGUCCAUAUAAAACAUCCUAGCUAGUCAUUGCUCACAGCAACACUGAUGUCUUAAACUUUGUGGUAGAAAAAGUUUAAGAUCCCUUUUGAAGCCUUUCCCCAAGCUUUGUUUACCAGUUUGGAUGGUGGUUAUGGAUGUGAUAAAAUUUUUAGAAACAUGUAUUAUAAUAUACAUCUCAGUUCACAACCACAGUUAAUGUAUGCGGCUGUGUAUGUGUCUAACCUCAUAAAUACAUAAAAGUGUUCCAGCUUUGGUGCUUAUGGAUUAUUAAAAUUAUAUCAUUAUAUCUCUUUCUUUGAUCACAAUUUAGUGUAACACAUUAUCUUGAUUCUCAGUAACUUCCAACUUUGAUGUUAUAUUUAAUAAAAUAUAAUGCUGUGCUGAAGAAUCCCUUGGGUAUCUUUAAUUUCUUUUCUUUUUUAUUAAUAUAUAUUACACCGUAAAUGGGAUUAAAUUGUCUGAUUAGUGAAGCAGGCUCUCACUGCAGCAGUUAAAUCCUGAAUUCCUCAGGGCAUUCUAUAGACAUUGUUAAAGCAUCUUUCCAAGGUGCUGAUAAGCCCAGAAUUAAGCCUAACAUUUCCCUGGUGCUGAGGCUGGUUUCACGCUCUGACCCCAACCUUUGCUCUGUUAAUUCAUCUUCCUGCACAGAAACCUUUGCUUUUGCCCUAGAAAUGUUGUAGGGCUGCACUGUAGAGCAGGAGAAAGAACCGAUGCAGGUUUUUGAAGAUACUCUGCCACCCCAAACCCAAGAGCUGCGUGGAGAGUGGCCUGCAAGGGGCUGCAUCACCAGAGAGCAUCAUCCAAAAGGUGCAGCAAGAACAACCUCACCCAUUGUCCCCACCAGUGGAAAUUGCUCCUUGAUGCUCACAGGCACGGUGCUGCCUUGAAGUGGGCCAGGUACCACUGCUUGAGGCUGUGCCAGGCAACUCGGUCAGGGCAGAGCCCAGGACAGGCAGCACUUAGCCCAGAGAAGUCCAGCUGGUGAUGUAUAGGGCUCUGGCACAGCCCCUGUCCCCAGACACACCUUGAACAAGUGCUUGAUCACGCUCAUGAAGUACUUUGUUGAGCUUAAGUUCGAACUCAGGCACAGCACAAGUACUAUCCUAUCAAAAACUCCUCUGGAAUACACUUAAAUCACUGAAAAGCUGAGAGAGGCACUUGGACUUGGAGAAGAGGAGAAGAGCAAGGCUGAGAGGCAGGUGAAUCUUUUCUCACUCUUUCUUUCUGCCCUUCUGCAGCUUUUACAGCAUCCAGCCCUCACCCACAAUAACUCAUCAAUGCUCAUUUUAAUCGCCUCCAGCAGGGUAAUGAGGGAAAGCGGAGCCUAAACUCUGUCUGACGAUGCCUAUACAAUCCUCUGUCAGAGAGGAGGUCCUUCUUAGCCUAUCAAGCAGUAAAAGUAGUCUUGACUACCUGGGGCCACAUCAUUAUGCUCUUUAUUACAUCUCAUUAAGACUAUAUGUUAUAGAAGUAAUAUUGUAGAGUUGGACAGCGCCAAGCCAAGCAGGUUUUGCCAUACUGCAAACAUAGGAAAAUUCUUCAUCACUUUGACUUUAUUGGCUAACACAAUUGUCCUUAAAAUAGUCAACCAAUGUACCAUGCAAGUAGAAAAAUUCAAAUUUACAAUAGACUUACCAGUAAAUAAAAAUCAGAUUAAAAAGACUUAAACACAAAAGACCUUUUAAAUCACUAUAGUUCUGCCUCCUGAGUUGUCAGGUUUUUAACACUUCACUGACAGACACAUGCAUAUAUAUAUAUAUAUAAAACAUUGUUAUGAGAUAUACUUCCAAGCCUGUAACUGAAGAGUACUCAAUGAAAAUUUAUAUGCAGACUCACCUGAUUAUUUUAUAAAUUAUUCAGCCAAUUAGUGACAUGAUAGUGUUCCUACUUAAAGAACAGUGCAGUGCCCUGCACAGGCCAUGAAGCAGAGUUUUAUAACUCAGCUGAGUUUUUUGGUCCUUCAGUGUCCAGACCCAGCUUGGACACCAUUUGUGCACCUAAGCAGUUUACGCAGGUGAAUAGCACAGCUGCCUUUUCAGACAGCUCAGUUUUCCACAAUACAAUCAGCAGAAAUACUGACAGUAUAUAAACUGGUAUUUUAGCAUUUCAGGCUUAAACAAAAUAAAAACAAACAAAAAACCAGCAAAAAAGCCAGACUAGAUUAACUAGAAUAUAAUAGGUUUCCAUAUUUCUAGGACCUAAAGAAGGAGACAUGGGACAGGAGCAGAGGCUGUUUGUUUACGUCUACACAGUAGAAAAAUAUCUCCUCAGAUUUACAAAGGUAAAAAUGUUUCAUUCUUAACUGAUGUUUCCCCUCCUGGUCACUGAAGUAGACUACUGAGCCAACAGGAAGAAACAUUUCCCAGUAUUACUGACAUUUAAGCAAAAUAACAAUUUUAAAGCUCUGGGAAAAGGAUAUAUAUGGUGAAGGAGUUGUUUGCAUAGAUGUAAUAAGUGAACCUGAGAGCAAUGCAGGAAGGCACUGCUGGCACAGACCCAGGAGGCACAAUGCAAAAACAAAGCACAGCCAGGUGGUCUUAUAAAAAAGGCAAUGGGCAGAGCCCUCACCAACCAUCACUAAUGUCUUGGCUGUCUUUGAUGACUAAAGUUUAAAGAACUUGUUUAAUUACCUUCUGCUUUGCUUUCCAAAUGGUACCUAAGCAGCUUAUCCAAAGUGAUCUGUAAAUUGCAUGACCAGCUCUUUGGUUUGAGGUAAAAAGUAGCAGGUGAGGCAGGCCAGGGUCCUUGUAUGGACACAGGCAAGACCUAAACCCCAGACACUGAGAACCUGAGUCAACAACAAGAAUUUCCUGAAUUAGGAUACUACUGAUGAAUGUACCAGCAGCAAGGACUUCUGGUUUCCCCCUGGCAGUGUGUUGGUAUCCUCUCAGCUGCCAAAAUCAGGGUACAAAAUCUGGUCAUGUCUUCUCUUCCUCUCUCCUAGUGCAUUGCCCUCAAAACACCCAGCUCCCUGCUAUCCCUCCCCAGCCCAGAAUUGGUCCCCUGCUGCUGCAGGAGAUGGCCUAGCAAGGAUGAAAGAGUUUGCAGUGGUUCCUGUGGGAAUUCACAUACCACCGUGCAAAAAUCCCUGAUAUUAAACAUGAAAGACCUGAAACUAACAAGGAAUGGGAAGAGUGACAUUUAAGGCAAGAAACAUCAGACAUUUUAGAAAAAAAUCCUAUCCAGACAGAGAAACAACUUCAUAAAUCACAAAAUGAUAGAAUCUGUCCCACUGGAAAAUAACCAUGAGAGAGGAAUUCUUGCAAAUGCAUCUCUGAUUUGAGAGAUAAAAUUAGAAAACCCAGGGUUGACUGUUGUGAAACUGUCUUUGCACAUUCCAGUAAUUUAGAAAAUUCAGAUAAGUGCUUGUGUUGACGUCCUGAUUUUUCUGAGGACAACAACCAUAUUGGUACUACCUUUAAUUGGUCCAGGAUGUCAACCCUGAACUUUGAUCCAAAGCAGUCAACAUCAAGUCAUGUCAGUGCUCAUAUGAGCACAGGAAUAAAGUCAGUACAUACUCAAUCUGCUAAGGAAUUUUCCCAUUAGCCAGCAAGCAGUAUCCCUUUGCUAAAGACACAAAAAUCUUGUUUGAGGAAAAGCUCUAUGGAAAUACUGCCAUCACUAUUUAUGUGAAAAAUAUCUCCAGAAAAAGAAUUUAGUAGUGGCAAUUCAAAUGAUAAACUCUAAUCCAUGGAACUCAGGAACUGAGCUGGCCUGAAGGUAGGGGAAAUGUUUUUCUCUUAAGAAAACAUUGACUUUUUCAGGGAAAAAUUGAUAAAAAUGUUCUGGUCCCAAAUCACAAUAUUUUGUUACUAAAAAGUGGCAACACAGCCUUGAGAACAGGAAUGUCUGCUUCCUGGAAGGUAGCUUUAGAUCAUGUCCUUUUCCAUAAAUUAUGUUUCCAUUGUGUUCCACUCCUUUUUAAAGACACAGGAAAAUAACCCAGUUUGUUUCCAUUAGCUAGCUUCAGUAAACCUUCCUCCACCAUGACUGUUGGACAACCAUAGACUCAUAGAAUGAUUUGGGUUGUAAGGGGCCUUAAAGAUCAUCUAAUUUCAACCCUGUGCCAUGAGUGAGGACACCCCCUUGCACUUCCACCAGCUUGCUCAGAGCCCCAUCCAACAUGACCUUGAACAUUUCCAGGGAUGAGGCACCCACAACUUCUCUGGGCAGUCUGUUCCAGUGCCUCAGCACCGUCACAGUAAAGAACUUCCUCCUAGCAUCUAAUCCAAAAUUAAUCUCAGUUUACAGCCAUUCCCCCUUGUUCUGUUACUACAUGCCCUUGUGAGAAGCCCCUCUUCAGCCUUUCCUUGUAGGCUCUCUUCAUGUACUGAAGGCUGAAAUUUAAGCCACACCAAAGCCUUCCCUUCUCCAGGCUGACCAAUCCCAAUGCUCACAACCUUUCCUCAUAGGAGCGGUGCUCCAUCCCUCUAAUCAUCUUGGUGGCCUCCUCUCCCUUCCCUUGACCUGCUGUCCAUAGUGCUUUGGAUGAAGCUCAGGACAUGGUUUUUUGGGCUGCAAAUGCCUGUUGCUGGGUCAUGUCCAGCCUCUCACUCACCAGCAUCCCUAAGCCCUUCUAGGCAGGGCUACUCUGGAUCACCCCCAGACUUUGUUGAUACAAGGAGUUUCCCAAACCUGGGUGCAACCCCUUGCACUUCAUCUUGUUAAACCUCAUGAGAUUCCCAAGGGCCAAUUCUCAUUGUCCAAGUCCCAUUAGAUGGCAUCCCAUCCUUCAGGUGUGGCAACCACACCACUCAGCUUGGUGCCAUCUGCAAACUUGUUGAGGGCGCACUUGAUCCCUUUAUCUAUGUCACUGGGGAAGACAUUAAAUGGCACUGGUGCCAGUAUGGACCCCUGAGGGGCACCACUUGUCACUGAUGUCCAUUGGAACUCUGAGUCAUUGUCCAUCACCCUCUGGAUGUGACCGUCCAACCAAGUUCUCAUCCAACACUUCCUGACAAAUCCUUGUAAAAAAAAGUUUAUCUUGCUAACAUUUCUAUACUGACAAAAUAAAAUUAAAGCAUACCAAAAAAUACAUAUUUUGUAUAUAUGUAUAUACACCCAGAGACCAAUAUGGAUUUGCAGUAAUUAAAUCAGUCUAAAGAAACUCCUUUUGAAAUAACUCCACCAUGUAAAAAUGAAGUAAUGCACAAGGCAUAAAUACAUGCCACUUACAUAGGUGCCUUUCUGUAAGGAACAAGAAGAGCUGUGUGUGCAUCCUCCCUCACCCAUCAUCCCACCACCCCAAUAAUAGUUAUUUUUUAAAGUUUUUCUGCUGUAAUAAAAUAUCUUUUCAUGAAUAUUCUUAAAAAUCAAAUUGAAAACUCAGCUGGUCUGUAUUUUUACUAUAUUUUUAAGUCCUCUACUCCUAAAUUGCUCUUUUUAUCCAGACAAGUCAAAUUAUGCUGGUACGCUGUUUUUCUGUCACAUACCCUUACCUUAAAAUCACAAGUCAUCCUGCCCCAUCCAGAACAUGAGGGCAAAUUCACAUGCUACUUAAAAUGCCAAGUAAGACCCAGACACUAUAAAAUCCAUCAUUUUAAACUGGUAUAGUAUUUCUGGCUUAAAAAAAAUAAAUGCAGAUGAAGCUAUCUUCAGCAAAAGGUAAAAAACAUCCCCUGGGAAAAAACUGCCUACAGUGUAAACUGGAAUAAAUGCUGCAAUAUUUAUGAGUAUUGUGGUGCUGGGAAUCCCCUCUGAGAGCCUCUGAUUUACACUAUACAUUGAUUUUUAUCAAAAGCUGUUCUAAAAUUAGAAGAGGCCAGGAUCUGACAAGUAUCCUUUAUGUUUUAGUCCUACAGAUGGAUACCAUGAGAUACUUCCUCAGUUUGAAACUCUUCCAAAUCCAGAGGCACCAAUCUGACAUAUUAAACUGAACUUAUACGAAGUCUUGUGUCUUUACAUCAUGCAACAUCAUUUAUGGCAUGCUGGGCUGUGACAGCUUAAGUUAUGAAAAUGCAGUAUCACGCAGCAGAUCAGAGCUAGCUUUAUAGCAGGUCUCAUGAAUUUCUUCAUCCAGAAAGAAUAAAUUUUGUGUGGGAGCAUUCUGCAUAGAACCCCUGCAGAGCAAUAGAUUAAAACUGGAUUUUAG